AGCCGUCGCAUUCAACAUUUCUCUGCAUAUCGUCAGACAUCUUCCUCGUGGAGUUUUCUGCCAAAUGAGGACGUGAUUGCUGCUGUACUGUGAAUCUCAAGCACACCUGCAUUCUUAUCAUGGGUGAUGGGCAGUUCAAGAUUGCUGUCGUUCAAGAAGUUAAUGACCACUGUUGAGGUUGUGAGCUACAAAUACCCAGAAGAGGUGGCACUUACGUUGGA